rnacentral:lncRNA from 1 species
GGCACGAGUUUCCCCAAGGACUGACUUGGGGAUAUCUAACACACCUGAUAGCAAUGCCCAUUUUUGACCUCUACUUUCCUCUUCCUAAUAUUUUUGCUCCAGGUUACCUGAAACCUUGAUGAGCUGCUUUAGCCUGGUCCCAUCCCUGCCAGAAAUCCAGGACUUGGACCAGCACACCGUGGUUUCAACACCGUGGAAAUGUCAUUGAAACUCUUCUACCAUGGGAUAACUGGGAGCAGGAUCAGCCUCACGGUCCUCAGAGACACCACUUCAUUAAUUAAAUAAACCAGUGACCUCUGAGACAGGAGUGAAAACACGAAUGGAGAGAGGAGAGUAGGUUUUCUCUCCACCGCGUCUCUGCUUCUCCAGUGCUUCCUUCUCCAGCUGCCCAGUGGGGCUGAGCUCCUCCCGGCAGCUCAGGAAACUGCUCCUGCUGGUGAUGGAGUGAGCACAAAGAGCGGACGGAGCUGCUGCUGCCCAGAAUGUGAGCCCCAAAGGACCUCGUUGGCUCGAGGAGGAGAUAUUUGCUCACACCAGCAUAACCUCUCUCCACUGUCAGUAUUUCCUUUGGUCGUGCUGGGACUUCUGAGGACAGCCCGGGCUGUUUGAGGACAUCCUGGGCUCAAGCCAUUUGCUCCUGAAUGAAGAUGCUCUUGAUGGACCGUUUUGUUCUUUGCAGCAGCAGGAAUGAGCCUGGAAGCGGAGGAAUCGGCUCCGAGAAUCCGAGAAGGAAUGGCAUUCCUUGGUCUUUCCCCCUCAGCAUGCCCUGACUGGAAGCUCUGGCUGUCAAUGGUACCCAGAGAGAGUUUUGUUGGUGAAAAAUGUUCCUUGGAGCCCUCCCAUGCAGGUGCUGAGAGAAUGAGCCAGUUGUUUGGAGAAUUGUUGUCUUCCCCAUGGACAGGUGCCAUUUUGAGUGAAACCAUCUCAGACACAGCAUACAACUUUUGCAGACGUUGCACAGCACCAUGGCAAAGAACAGACCUCGAAGUUCACAAACCGAGUGGAAAUUGUCAGAUAUUUGUGAGUUGGUGGAUAAUUGACAUCAGGAAAUGUUUGCAACUGGCUGCUUAUGAAAGCCUUUGA